rnacentral:rRNA from 1 species
CUGCAUGAAGCUGGAAUCGCUAGUAAUCGCGGAUCAGAAUGCCGCGGUGAAUACGUUCCCGGGUCUUGUACACACCGCCCGUCACACCAUGGGAGUAGGUAAUGCCCGAAGUCGGUGACCUAACCGGAAGGAAGGAGCCGCCGAAGGCAGGACUUAUAACUGGGGUGAAGUCGUAACAAGGUACC